UCCCUCCGCGGCGCUCGCUCCUCUCGCACCGUCAGUCACUCGCACACGCCCGCCCGCCGCCGCCGCCCGCGCCCGCACACAGGGGGGAUGCGCUCCCGGCGGACCGGGCCGCCCGCCCGGAGCCCGGCGGGCACUCGGCGCUGGGGCUGGAAGGGCUGGACAGCUGGCUGGCGGAGAUGGGAGUGCGGCUUUCUGCCUCCGCCGACACUCGGUCGCACGCUCCCGGAGGCCGGGAGCCGGCGGUGGCGGCCCCGGGCUGGCUGUGGGCGGCAGUGGCAGCGGCGGAGGCAGCGAGGGUUGCUCUCUCUCGGCUUUACGUACCGGUCAUAGUGUGUUUAGGACAGCUCAGGCGGGGCUCCCCGCCGCCUUACACAUGGUGAGAAGCGAAGGCGGCGGCGGCGGGAGAGGAUGCGGGAAGCGGCGGCGGACACGGCCGGAGCGGUCCGGGGAAUUUUUUUUUUCCUAUUUUGAUUGACUGUGCGGGAAACACAAAAGGUGGAGCCUCCAGCCCAAAAGGGGGGAAGAGGGCGACAGCCCGCCCGGAAGUUCCGCCCCUCUUCCCGGCUCUCAUUUGCCGCUAGGCUCUCCGUCAGCUCUGUUCAUUGGUCCGGACGCCUGUCCGUCGCUCGGCCUGGCGGCGGGCUUCCUGUUUGCCCCCGGGUUGAAGGGGAGAGACAAUGAGCGGCCGUGGCGCCGUAGGUUCUCCAGAACGGCCCCGGCUCGCGCGUUACCCCGCUGUGCCAGCCUCGUUCCUCGGCUGCGGCUGCCAGACCCGAGGCGCAGGCCUCUUCCACUGGCUGGCCCUGUGUGCAGGCCUCGCCAGGCUGUCGGGGAGCCGAGCUGGGGAGGAAGUCCGUCCCCGGUGGCUCCGGCUCCACUCGACGUCUCCUCCAUCCUGGCAGCCGACCGGACUGGAUCUCCCCAGGGCCCGGGCGCUCGGAGCUGCGUCUUGCCAGCGCUGCCAGGAGGCCACCGCCGCUCGGCCCCAGGGCUGCUGCUGCUACUGAGCAAACCGGACCCGCCCCACGAGCCCUGGGGGAGGGAGCUGGUAUUGGGGGAGACACCCCCUCCGAGGCUGGAGGAGGACGUUUUCACACACAUUCAGCUCUUGGUCGCAAGUCGGAUCCAUCACCUUCUCAUCCUCCCGAGCUUAGCCCGUGGUUACCAACCAUCUACUUUUGUGGACCCUGGAGGCGGGCACUUAGAGCAAAAAGAUAUCUCCAGUCCCUUCAUAAAGAAAAAAGGUUUUAGUUCUGGCCAGUGAUAUCAAAGCAGGCUUAGUUAUGUUUUUAUUCAAUGAGAUACAGUCACCCUUUAAAAUCAGUUUGCUGCACACACAAACUACCUGCUUCUUAACCAAGAAAGUCAGUCAACAUUUGUUAAAACAGUACAUCUAAAAAGUAUCCUUCCUCUUGGGAGCGUUUAGUUACUUUUUUUUUUUUUUUUAAAUUUUGUACUUAGUGGUGUAUUAACACCCCUUCCUUUGACAUCCUCAAUGCCUUGCAGUCAGUCAUUCAGGAGAAAAAAGUGUUCUGCAAACAACAGACAGAACGUUGUCUAUUACCUCUAGAUACUUUUGCUUAAGAAAGGUUGAAUUUAAGAGUAGGAAACACUAUCCACAAUACUUUUAUUAGAAAUCUACCUCAAGCAAGAAUAAACAUCCCAAUUAUUG
rnacentral:lncRNA from 1 species